GCCAGGUGUGGUGGCACAUGCCUAUAAUUCCAGUGACUUGGGAGGCUGAGGCAGGAGGAUUGCAAGUUCAAGGCCAGCCUCAGCAAUUUAGGGAGAUCCUGUCUCAA
rnacentral:sRNA from 1 species